GUGACGUAGCAGUCCCUAGCCGGCGAGGCCGGAACCAGUACGCGGCCCGCGUUGCCGGAGGCUGCGGAGGAGGCUGCACCGCCCGGAAGCGCCGGCUGGGCCAUGGCUGCGCGCUGGGCGCUCUGCGGCCUGGCGGCGGCACGCGCUACCGGUUGCAGGUUUGUUUCAAUGAUGCCUGUUUCUCCGUUGUCUUCUGCUGAGAUUAUUCAGAUGCGCAAUGAACUCUUUAACAAAGAGAAAGAGAGACAGUUGGCUCUGUAUCCACGAAUUGAGAAGAUUGAAGUAAAAUAUGUUGGAAAAUCUCACCCUGGCGCUUUGUUUGUAAUGAACAAGGGUUUGUCCACGCCAUACAAUUGUGCUAUGCACUUAAGUGAAUGGCAUUGCAAAAAAUCAGUAUUGGCACUUGUGGAUGGAGAGGUCUGGGACAUGUAUCGGCCCUUAACCAAAUCAUGUGAAAUUCAGUUUCUUACUUUCAAAGAUGAAAAUCCAGAAGAAGUGAAUAAGGCCUAUUGGCGCUCCUGUGCCAUGAUCAUGGCAUGUAUGCUAAAGCAAGCAUUCAAAGAUGAAUACUCAGUGAGUCUGGUCAGAGCUCCAGAAGUGCCAGUGAUUUCUGGAGCUUUCUGCUAUGAUGUAGUUCUGGACAGUGCACUUGAUGACUGGAAGCCAGCAGAGAAUGCCUUCAAUUCUCUUACAAAAGAAGCAUGCAGGCUAAUUUACAAAGAUCUGCCAUUUGAAAUGCUGGAUGUUGAAGCAAAAGUGGCAUUAGAAAUGUUUCGGCAUAACAGGUACAAAAUGGAGAUAAUAGAACAGAAAGCUUCACAAAGCCCUGAAGGAAUAGUAAAGUUACAUAGGUUUGGUGACUUCGUAGAUGUUACUGAAGGCCCACACAUACCAAGGACAAGCUUUUGUUUCCAGUAUCAAGUGACAGCAGCCCACAAUCUUCAGGCCAGCCAAUCUGGAUUAAUACGACGGUUCCAGGGUGUUUCUUUGCCAAUACACUUAAGGGCUCAUUACGUUAUAUGGCGCAGGUUGCUAGAGAGGUCUCGGAGACUGGUCACUGAAGAGGGAAGUCUGGGAGCAAAAGAUGCGAAUGAAGAAGCAAAAAUGCAGUAGUUGUAUAUAUUUUUUUUUUAUUUUUCCAUUUGUAAAUUAAAAUGUUUUUGACGCUGCUUAUUUGUGUUGCAUAUGCUGAUGUCCUUUAACUCAGUUGACUUCAUUGGAAUUAAAUCAGAGAUUAAUAUGAUUUUCAGUAUUUCAGAUCUCAAUCUAUUGUCAUUUUGAUUUUUUUUUCACCUUUAUUAAAGCUAUUGUUAGGUUUGAAUUAAACUUUCAAAAAAGUGAGGAAUGAAUGAUGAACCUGUUGUAACUCUGACCUUAUAACUGCUAUUUACAUGUUCUCAGAUAUAGAUAGCUAUAUUCUGAGAGUAAUGAAGUCUGAUCCACAGAAAAUAACACUGAUCUCUGAACUAUCUGCUGGCAAGAGCUAUUCUAUUUGCUUUAAUUUGAUGUGUUCAUUUAAUAAUGUGAAAGACAAUUUUUAUUAAUAUUUCUUUUUUCUGCCAUGAAGUAACUCUUUCUGUGUACCAAAAUGCCACAUCAUUUUUCCACAAAAAUGCCACAUCAUUUUUCCACAAAAAUUAUUUCAUUGUGAAAUGUGAAAGACCUACAUCUUCUAUGUAGGUCAAGACAGAAUUUUGUUUGCAAAGGCAAAUAGAGUGUUACCAGAAUAUUUUCUGCUUCAGAAUGCUGGCAUCGUAUAUGCAUACCAUGUUGAAAACACUGGAGAGUAGCAUUGGAUGCUCUUUUCAUGAUCAACUUUCUGUGAGUCUUUUUUAAAAAGACUAUCUGCAUAAUGCAGGAAGCAAAGCUUUAGAAUGGUGUUUAACUGUCAACUGGUCCAUGUGUGGGGUUUUUAAUUUUUUUUUUUUUAUUAUACUAGUAAUCUCUGUAUCAUGUUGAAUGUUUUUGAGGCAGUGUUCCUAUACAUUAAUCCAUCCACAUUGUAAGAAGAAUCUUUAUUGAAUCUUAUUUUUUAUAAAUAGUAUUUUGUGUUGCUAAUCUUAUUGGGUUAUACACUCAGAAGGAGGUUCUGCUGAAAAGAGCUUUCUCUUGGGCAUAAAAAAUUUGGGUCAUGUUUACUGUAACACUAUUUGAUUUAGCAAAUUGUUGAAAUCUGUCCCACUUACGUCUUCACCAUUAAGUAAAUUUUUGAAAUUUCACUUGCUUCCAUAAUAAACAGUAGUACCACAAAUUGGAAAAACAGCAGUAGCUGUUAAAUAAAAUGUAUUUAACUACAACUACUUCUCUUAGAUUGCGGUCGGUUUUCACUGAUAAUCAUUAUAAUAUCAUUAUAAUGUAGUUUUUGUAUAAAAGCGCAGAAAAGGAGAAAACAUGCAAAUAGACACAUAAAGUAAUUUGAGAUAAAACUGGUAGAUAGUUUCUAUGUGGCAUAUUUACAGAGUUCUACCUAAACGUGUUUCAAGAAGUCUGUCUGUAUUUAUGCAUUCCGGUCCUCCUUGCCACUUUUAGUUAUUAAGUUUACUGACACUGUAGCAAUUGGUUCCAAGAACUUUAGACAGUGUUUCUUUAUACAGUACACCUUUGAUUAUCUAGGUAUUAAAGGGGAACAUGCUGAAGGAACAGGUUUAGUAUUACAGAUAGCAGGGGAUGUUACUUUGUUUUGGUUUAGAUAAUUAUGGGUGUUUAUAGACAUGCUUCAGGAGGCAGGGGGCAGGGCGCUAUAGUUUAGUGCAGCUCCAAGAGCCACACUUAUUAAAGCACCUGGAGCAUCACAUGUAUCAGCAUCCCUGUGCUGAAAAAUUGUGGUAGGGCGCUUUGAACAAGAUUUAGUGUAAAGUGCCUUGCUGCCAUUUUUUCAUCGUGGGGAUGCAUGUGAUGCUGGAUUCUGCUCUUAUACACUAUAAUUACAGUGUCAGAGCAGCCUCACUGCAUGUGUAUAGCAGCCCUAAGGUUUUGGUUAAAGCAGUUUAUGUUCUGUUGAGGAGGUAUACCUGGUUUUCUAACUGUCUACCAGAUCUAAAGUAAUGUUUUUUGUUUUUUUUCUUUAAGUCAACAGUUCUCUAUCCUUAGAGGGUGCCUUUACUUGAAAGCAGCACAUCAUCAGUCUUACUGAAAAACCAGAUAGAAGGGACCAGGUUCUAUGCCACAUAUUAGGUGUCUAAAGUGUCAUCCUAUUCUACUUGCUUCAAGGCCCUGAAGAACUAUAAAUGCAAAAAGUGUUAUUUUCCUUUUAUUUGAAAUAAACUUCUCUGGAGAGGUGAAAGCUGUCUUCCUUAUUUUGCAUCACUACCAAAUCUUGAGAAUUGUGGAUCAUGACUAGACUUCAAGUGCUUGACUGGAUGAACUUCCCAGUAUAUUUUGAUCUACAUUAAGCAGUGGUAAGAAGCAAACCUUUAUUAAUCAUCAGUAAUUGUGUCAGCACUGUACAGUUGUACACAAUGCAACCAUUAUUUAACUUUGAGUCAACAAACUUUUUGGAAGUAUGUCUUUUUAACUUUAUUCAAUUUUAUGAGGAAUCCAUGCAUAGGAGCUCAAUAUAAUGCAUUCAGUAUGUGUUGUUUGACUGGAAGAGGCUAUAUAAUGGAUAUUUCUUGAAGAGCAACCACCUUCUGAAAAUGGGAAUGCUAUCAUGCUGUGGUCUUUUCAUAAGAUUUAACCCCAGUCAUGGACAGCAUUAACAUUUUUCAGAGUUAAAAAAAAAGAAAAGCAUAUUCAGCUCCCACUAACAUAAUGGCUAUAACCUAACAUGUCUCUCAACUAAGGAAUUGGAUAUGCAAAGAAAGGGAUAUAGGCAAAUGGGGUAGUGCUCUUAUUUAUAUAUGCAGAACCAAAAAUACUUGACAGAGAAAACAGCACACUGUAAGGUGUACAUUAGUCAUUAGUCAGAUCAGUGAGUAGGAAGACCUUCUUCCUCCUGGUUAAGGAAUAUUUAUUGGCAUAUAGAUGAGAAGGCAUGCAUAUUAUCAUAAAAAUUACUGACUAAUGAGCUAAGACCAGUUGUAAAAGCUGGACUGGGAGGGAUAAGUGGUUAGCACGUUAUCUUUGUGCUCGGAUGUGAUAUUGAUGAAAAGUCUAUGAAGAGAAACUAUUCCUUGCUUGCUGCAGAUUUUGACUGCUAGACAGUAAAGAAGGCACAAAGCAGUAUGCUGCUAAUCAAUAAGGAUGAAAAGAAAUAUUGAAUAGCUGCCUCUUUCAGUGAGCCCCAUCAGUUAAGAUAAUAGAACGCAAUUGUGUAAUAUGAUAGUCACUGGGGAAAAGUGAAAUUGCAGAGAUGGCCGUAAUGCUGCUUUGUGAGUUUUGGAACUUUUAGCUUUAUAAUGGAGUUUUUCUGUGUGGGAUACAGAAUCUGUAUGGUACUGGGGGAUGGUCUAGAAAGCGUCACCCAGAUUCAGCCAACUUGCACGUUUUGAAGCAAGCAGGACCCACGAAUGAAAGAAACAAUGAAGAAUGCUUUGAGAGAGAGAACAUGAGAUACUCCACUUGCUUGCCAAAGGGGCCCAGAAACCAUAGUUGCUUUUGGAAUAGCAAUUCUUAUAUUUGUACAGGGAAUUGGACUCAAAUGACCCUUGAGAUCCCUUCUACCCCUGUGAUUGUAUGAUUUUAUUGUAUCACUAAAAUUGCCAGAACUCAUGUUUGUUUCAAAUCUGAUGGGCAAAGAAUCUUUUGUUCUGU